ACAGACUGCACUAGGGCUUUGGGGUAG
rnacentral:piRNA from 1 species